UACGAAGGGGGCUAGCGUUGCUCGGAAUGACUGGGCGUAAAGGGCGCGUAGGCGGUUCGUACAGUCAGACGUGAAAUUCCCGGGCUCAACCUGGGGACUGCGUUUGAUACGUGCGGGUUUGAGUUCGGAAGAGGGUCGUGGAAUUCCCAGUGUAGAGGUGAAAUUCGUAGAUAUUGGGAAGAACACCGGUGGCAAAGGCGGCGACCUGGUCCGAUACUGACGCUGAGACGCGAAAGCGUGGGGAGCAAACAGG
rnacentral:rRNA from 1 species